rnacentral:rRNA from 1 species
UACGGAGGGUGCAAACGUUGCUCGGAAUCAUUGGGCGUAAAGGGCGCGUAGGCGGCCUUGUCAGUCAGGCGUGAAAGCCCCGGGCUCAACCUGGGAACGGCGCUUGGGACGGCGAGGCUGGAGUUCGGGAGAGGAGAGUGGAAUUCCCAGUGUAGAGGUGAAAUUCGUAGAUAUUGGGAAGAACACCGGUGGCGAAGGCGGCUCUCUGGACCGACACUGACGCUGAGGCGCGAAAGCGUGGGGAGCAAACAGG